ACAAGAGGGUUGAAAGAGGAUGGCUUUGAGAGUACAGGUUCAGUAUCUUGGAUGGUUCUUUCAAAUUCAGACUAAAACCUGGAAGGAAUUUGCCAACUUGUUGAAAUGGUCACAGAAUAUUGGAA
rnacentral:lncRNA from 11 species